UUAAAUGAUGGGAAAUAAAAUGUCUGUAUCUUCAAUACCUCUUUAUAUACUAUUUUCUUUUUUAGAAGUCCCUGGGAUUUAUGAUAUGUGGCAGGGGUUGCUAAAUCCACAGCAGUGAAAUGAUAAAAAUGUAAUGAGUCUUGUUUACCACUCUUUUUUGUAAAUGCUGUUUAAUUAAUCAUUCUCAUUCCACAAAGUACCUCCUUGUUACAUAUCCUUGUGAAGUUUCCAAGUAACCAGUUACU